rnacentral:misc_RNA from 1 species
GGGAACCAGACAACCCCACCAAAUGUGAGUGCAUAAAUCAAUUUUCGAUCUUUUUCUUUUUCCCUCUCUCUUUAGAAUAGUAAUGUUGUUGGAUCAUCGUUUUUCUUUAUGUUUGGUAGAUGAGAAACUGUUGGAAACUUGAAUUGAGUUGUGGGAAAUGAAACCAACGAUAUAUUAGUGCAUACCAAGGAGAGGAUAGUGUUUAUUUUAUGUACUUGAUAGAAUUGAAAAUGUGAGAUCUCAUUUUGAUGUUAU